GUGCUUGCUUCGGCAGCACAUACACUAAAAUUGGAAUGAUACAGAGAAGAUUAGCAUGGCCCCUGCACAAGGAUGACACACAAAUUUGUGAAGCAUUGCAUAUUUUU